rnacentral:rRNA from 1 species
UUCCGGUUGAUCCUGCCAGAGGUUACUGCUAUCGAGAUUCGAUUAAGCCAUGCGAGUUGAAUGUUCUUCGUGAACAUGGCGGACUGCUCAGUAACACGUGGACAACCUACCCUUGGAUCUGGGAUAAACCCGGGAAACUGGGCAUAAUACCGGAUAAGCCACAUAUGCUGGAAUGCUUUGUGGCUCAAAGCUCCGGCGUCCAAGGAUGGGUCUGCGGCCUAUCAGGGUAGUAGUGGGUGUAAUGUACCUACUAGCCUACGACGGGUACGGGUUGUGAGAGCAAGAGCCCGGAGAUGGAUUCUGAGACACGAAUCCAGGCCCUACGGGGUGCAGCAGGCGCGAAAACUUUACAAUGCGGGAAACCGCGAUAAGGGAAUCUCGAGUGCCAGCAUAUAAUGUUGGCUGUCCAGAUGCCUAAAAAGCAUUUGUUAGCAAGGGCCGGGCAAGACCGGUGCCAGCCGCCGCGGUAACACCGGCGGCCCGAGUGGUAACCGUUAUUAUUGGGUCUAAAGGGUCUGUAGCCGGCCGAAUAAGUCUCUGGGGAAACCUGGCAGCUUAACUGUCAGGCAGUCAGGGGAUACUGUUCGGCUUGGGACCGGGAGAGGUGAGAGGUACCUCGGGGGUAGGGGUGAAAUCUUGUGAUCCUCGAGGGACCACCAGUUGCGAAGGCGUCUCACCAGAACGGGUCCGACGGUAAGGGACGAAAGCUAGGGGCGCGAACCGGAUUAGAUACCCGGGUAGUCCUAGCCGUAAACGAUGCUUGCUAGGUGUCAGCCACGGUGCGACCGUGGUUGGUGCCGUAGGGAAGCCGUGAAGCGAGCCACCUGGGAAGUACGGCCGCAAGGCUGAAACUUAAAGGAAUUGGCGGGGGAGCACUACAACGGGUGAAGCUGCGGUUUAAUUGGAUUCAACGCCGGAA